AUUGGCCAUGGGAAAAAUGUCCCUUCCCCGUGCCUCAGCGGGGAGUGAUGGGGCCGUAUAAACCCACCGGCACGUCCGGGGCCAGGAGCUGCGGUGAGGAGAGGCCAGGUAGGAUGUCGGCUGGAUUUGUUGUGGUCCAAGAGGUGCAGGGGAUCCGCACAUGGCUUUCCGUGCUGCUGUUGGAAACUGGCAUGCGUGGGAUUCAGUACGGGAGGAUACGCCUGCACUCGGGAAGCGGGGGGCUCUGUGUUGAGAGAGGAUGCCGGUACUCUGGCUGGCAGGGUGAUUCCCUGGCCCUUCACUGAAAUGCAAGAAGCAGAAGAGGUUUUUCAAGCAGCAUAAAUUUAAAAAAGCCUAUUUUUCCCCAGGGCAGCAGACACUGCUGGGCUGGCCAGUGGCACUGGAGGAAGCAGAGGCGGGCGCUGGCUCUGGAGGAUGCAGGGAAGGAGCCGCGGUUUGGAAAUAAAACCGCAGCAUUUGGAAGUGGGUUUGAGGACCACCUGCACCAGUCAGAGGAAAGGGGCAGCUCCAGAGGCAGAGAGGGGUACAUUUGUGCAUAGAUAUGGGGGUGGCCGGAGCAGCCAUCCCUCCAAAAGCACCCGCCAUGCAGCAACCGCCCGCCCGCAAGAUGAUGAACCGGAGACCACAGGGGGUCCGAGGCGACAGACCUGCUU